rnacentral:rRNA from 1 species
AUUGAACGCUAGCGGGAUGCCUUACACAUGCAAGUCGAACGGAGUGGCGAACGGGUGAGUAAUGUAUCGGAACGUGCCCAGUAGCGGGGGAUAACUACGCGAAAGCGUCGCUAAUACCGCAUACUAUUGGAGCGGCCGAUAUCGGAUUAGCUAGUUGGUGGGGUAAAGGCCUACCAAGGCGAGGAUCCGUACCUGGUUUGAGCGGACGACCAGCCAAACUGGAACUGAGAAACGGCCCGUACUCCUACGGGAGGAAGCAGUGGGGAAUGUUGGACAAUGGGGGAAACCCUGAUCCAGCCAGCCCGCGUGUGCGAUGAAGGCCUUCGGGUUGUAAAGCACUUUUGGCAGGAAGGCGGUACCUGCAGAAUAAGCACCGGCUAACUACGUGCCAGCAGCCGCGGUAAUAC